rnacentral:rRNA from 1 species
GGACCCGCACAAGUAGUGGAGCAUGUGGUUUAAUUCGAAGAUACGCGCAGAACCUUACCAACACUUGACAUGUUCGUCGCGACUUUAAGAGAUUAAAGUUUUCGGUUCGGCCGGACGAAACACAGGUGCUGCAUGGCUGUCGUCAGCUCGUGUCGUGAGAUGUUGGUUAAGUCCGCACGAGCGCAACCCUCACUUUUUAGUUGCCAUCAUUAAGUUGGGCACUCUGAAAGAACUGCCAGUGAUAAGCUGGAGGAAGGUGGGGAUGACGUCAAGUCCUCAUGGCCCUUACGUGUUGGGCUACACACGUGCUACAAUGGUAUCUACAACAGGAAGCAAACAGCGAUGUUAAGCA